rnacentral:rRNA from 1 species
CAAUGGGCGAAAGCCUGACGCAGCAACGCGCGUGCGGGAAGAAGGCCUUCGGGUGUAAACCGCUUCAGCAGGACGAAAAUGACGGUACCUGCAGAAGAAGGUGCGGCCAACUACGUGCCAGCAGCCGCGGUGACACGUAGGCACCAAGCGUUGUCCGGAUUUAUUGGGCGUAAAGAGCUCGUAGGCGGUUCAGUAAGUCGGGUGUGAAAAACUCUGGGCUUAACCCAGAGCCGCCACCCGAUACUGCUGUGACUAGAGUCCGGUAGGGGAGUGGGGAAUUCCUAGUGUAGCGGUGAAAUGCGCAGAUAUUAGGAGGAACACCGGUGGCGAAGGCGCCACUCUGGGCCGGAACUGACGCUGAGGAGCGAAAGCGUGGGUAGCAAACAGGAUUAGAUACCCUGGUAGUCCACGCCGUAAACGUUGGGCACUAGGUGUGGGCCUCAACCAACGAGGUCCGUGCCGUCGCUAACGCAUUAAGUGCCCCGCCUGGGGAGUACGGCCGCAAGGCUA